rnacentral:rRNA from 1 species
GAUGAACGCUGGCGGCGUGCUUAACACAUGCAAGUCGAACGGAAAGGCCCAAGCUUGCUUGGGUACUCGAGUGGCGAACGGGUGAGUAACACGUGGGUGAUCUGCCCUGCACUUCGGGAUAAGCCUGGGAAACUGGGUCUAAUACCGUAUAGGACGAUGGUUUGGAUGCCAUUGUGGAAAGUUUUUUCGGUGUGGGAUGAGCUCGCGGCCUAUCAGCUUGUUGGUGGGGUAAUGGCCUACCAAGGCGUCGACGGGUAGCCGGCCUGAGAGGGUGUACGGCCACAUUGGGACUGAGAUACGGCCCAGACUCCUACGGGAGGCAGCAGUGGGGAAUAUUGCACAAUGGGCGCAAGCCUGAUGCAGCGACGCCGCGUGGGGGAUGACGGCCUUCGGGUUGUAAACUCCUUUCGCUAGGGACGAAGCGUUUUUGUGACGGUACCUGGAGAAGAAGCACCGGCUAACUACGUG